CUGUGAGGUUGAAGUGGUGAGCCGCACGCCGGUGCGUGUGUUCCCGCAACCGUGGGUGUGUUCGGUGAAAUGUGAGCUGUCAAAAAGGGCGUUCCGGGCCCGGAACGGAGCCAGAUUUUUGUUUGCCAUGUUGUCCUGAGUUGAGUGUUUCAGUUAAAAUUAUGAGAACAGUGUUUAGCUUAAUCUCAGGAGCAGCUCAUUCACCAGCUGUCCGAUUGUAUUGGUUUCGUAAUUAACAUAUUGUUGCCACGGUAACAAUGCAACAGUAACACUUGGUCUAGUUGACAUUCCGUUCCAAACAAAUAACAGUGAUUAGUAACAAAAAACGUAGUUUACUCGAUCAACCGACAUCAGAUUUUACUGACAACGUCCUUGCCACGAGUUUCGGACAAGUUUCUGACCCGCUUCACCGCUCAGCGGCAGCUCCCAGAUUCGACCAAAUGAACAAGGUUUCCAGAAUACAUUUAAGGCAGCAUCUUAUCGAUAGGAGAAGGCGAAAAGCAAUGGCGGAUCGCAGCCGCUUCUGAACGCCAGUCAGUCUCUCUCACGUAUUCAUGAACUAAAGCUUGUUUUGCCAGCAACUUACUGUUAGACAACACGUUUCCUCGUAAAGGAAUCUAUACUAUUGUUUGUUUCGAAAAUCCGAUCUACUGUAAAUUGGAAAAUGUUUCACAACACAACGAACUAACGACCUAACGAAUGGGACGUCCGACACGGGCGGCCCUCGCAAGGUUACAUCGAAUUAGUACCGCUACUCAGCAGAACGAUACUCUUCAAUCCUCUAUCUGUGUCAGCAUGUUAGUACCAUACGCGCAUCAUCUACCACACACUAACCACGCAUAAAACGAAUAAAAAUAUCGAUGUGCUUUUAAUGUUGUGA